AUCAAGUUCUUUAGUUAAUGUCAAACUCGAUAACAAUGAAGCCCAAGUGUAUGUAAAUUCAGUCUAUGAAAAAGAAACCAGUUCAAGCAAAACAGUCCCAACUGGCAUAAACCAAAAAAUACCACAUGAGCAUUGUAGUUAUAAUAAACAUAAUAAUAAUAAUAAUAAUAAUAAUACAAAUGAAAUAUCUAAUCCUAAUGACGUAAUAUACCCUUGUUUACAAAAAUUAAUUAACUAUUUAUUUAGUGAAGAUAAAAAUAUAAUUUAUGUUACUAUACAAUUGUGUAGGCAUAUUUUUGAGAACACCGACUUUUAUAAUUUUGUUUUUAUUAAAUAUAAUUUUAUAGAUAAUUUUUCGACUACUAUAUUUCAAAAUUUUAAUCAAAGCGAUUUAACGAUAAGAAAAAAGUUUUUGACAGUAUUAUAUUAUUUAAUUAAUAAAAAAAACUUUCAAAAUAUUACACAUAAUAUAGUAAUAUAUUUAUAUAAUAAUAAGGAGCGUGAGUUUUUUGAUGACUAUAUAAAUGUAAUAUUAAAUUAUGGUACUAAUAAUAUUUGUACUUUACAUAAUGUUGUAAAUUUUUAUAUUUUUAUUUUAUUUUUUAUUUUAUGUUUUAUAAAAAAUAAUAAUCAAGAACUGAGUAUAUUAAAUAAAAUUAUGGAGAUAAGUAAAGAGGCUAAAAAAACACACAUAACGAUUAAUUUUUUAAGUUCCAUUUUUAUUAUUACUUAUGGUAUAAAUAUGGUAAAAACGGGGUCCUUAGAAAAGCAGCCGUUAGGUUUGAUUACAUCUGGUAGCACCUUGUGGGAUGACGAUAUCCUUUACACUCUUCCCUUGGAUGGUACUACCAGUGCAAGUGCAAAAGCAAGUGUAGGUGGCAGCGCAGGUGGCAGCGCAGGUGUCAGCGUAGGUGUCAGCGCAAGGACCAACUAUACCAAGUUCUACGGAGAUAACUACCAACACCUGAUAGAAAACGAAAUUAUAAAUUUUAAAAAAAAAUUAAAAAGAAAUGAUGAACUAAUAAAAUACAAUAUAUUUACCUAUAUUGUUGAUAUAUUAAAUUUAUAUGAUUUGAUUAACUAUAAUAGAAUAGGACCACUCCCUAAAAAUGC
rnacentral:lncRNA from 1 species